rnacentral:tRNA from 1 species
AGAGGGACAACAUUGACCUGCUAACCCAAUUCACCAGAACUAACCACCUGGCCCCCUUA